CAGAUCUUGUGAGAACUCUGUCAUGAGACAGCACUAGGGGGACGACGCUAAACCCUGAGAAAGCACCCCCACCCUCCAAUCACCUCCUACCGGCUCCGUCCCGCAGCACUGGAGAUUACAACUGAGCGUGAGAUUGGGGUGGGGACACAGAGCCAAACCAUAUGGGAGUUCUUUUCAGGCAGAAUUGGCGAGGGACUCCUGAAAGCAGAGCAACACAUCAAUUCAAUGUUUAAAUAGAGCCUAGGAAAGUUUCCUUUUAGCUAGUCACGUGGUCACCAUUUAAGAUUUUGUAAGAAGCCACCACAUUGGCCUUUCUGUCUUGUGACACACAGACCCCAUGAUUGGGAAUAGAAAGAAGGCACAUUCUUAGGAAAGGCGUCAACCUCACAGGGUGACCUUUCAGAUACAAUGAUUUGUAAGAGAAGAAAAAAACGCUGCAAUAAAAAGAUCGCUUUCUUUCAUUCUUUUCCAGCUCCCUUUAUUCCUAAAGGGAAUGUCUUUUGAGUCACCUUUUAUUCCAUCAUUGUAUAGGCCUUCUCUCUGCUACCUGUAUGGAAGGGAAUCCCUCAGGGCUGAGAUAUUUCUGAGCAGGUGGAGGGGGGGUGAUGGGAGGAUUCGAGGUGGCUCUUGUCAAUUCCUGUCCUGACCUGGUUUCAUUCCAGCUGCUCUUAAUUGGCAGGCAGAGCCUGCUGGCUUCCCUCAUCUGUCUCUUCCUAGUGAGUGAGUGGAAAGCAGGCCAUGGCCCUGAAGUAUGCGGUGUCCCAUCUUCCGGGGACAUUGGAUCCAGGCCUGUCUGCAGGACCCUGUCUUGAGUGGCUGCAGGCUCUUGGCUCACCUUAUGGAAGCUUUCGGAUCUUGAUGUGGGUCAGGCCUUGAGGACAGAGAAGUGAAGAGGAAGGCAGGCCCUGGCCUUAAUUUUGCUCUCUAUUUGUUUAGUAAGAGCUCCUGAGUCAGCAGUCUGUUCCACUACCCCGAUCAGCUCUCACCUCUGACCUUUGCCUGGGCAGGAACUGAACCCACCCAAUCCUGUUUUUAGACUUUGCCAUGAAUGGUAAACCCAUCUCCUGGAGGGGAGUCAGUGCUCUGCCCCCGCUCCAUUGCAGUAAGUGCACGAGAUGAAGGCUGAAGUGUGUUCAGUAACCAGCCUGCCUACGAGUUGCUGUUCAGCUGACGUAGCUCUUUCCUCAACACAGACACUGUUGCAGCUAGAACCAGAAAGGACCUGGUGAACCAGCAAGGGGCAUCUUAUUCUGAGGAUGUGAACCUUCCUGGGGGAGUCCUGCUUCUGUCAGGCAUGACAUUCCAAAUACUUAUAGAUGACCUCCCAGAAACCAACAGCAAAGACCAGACCUCUGGUAGGGUAAGGUUAAAUUAUUUACUACACAACAUCCACAUUGAGAUGUCAAGUAGACUGUUGGGUGUAUGAGUCUGGAGUUUUAUGGAAAUGUCUGAGCUAGAACUAAAAUGGUUGGGAGUCUUAGACAUGAGGGUAUUAUUGAAAUCCAGGGGUGGGUAGAGGAGGCUUGAAGACAAAGCCUGGACAUUGUACCAUUUAGAGGAAGCACAGACAGCCUGAGUCAGCAAAGCACACUGAGUGGUAGCAGCCAGCGAGUUAGGAGGAAACUAGCCCCCUUCAUGUCUUUGAUAUAUAUAGAGGUAAAUCAUUAAGGUACAAUACGAGAAUGGUUAAAGGUGUCAGAAUCAUAAGUACCAGAGAGUUUGAAAGGAAGAAAUAUUACUAGUGUUUAAUGGAGCACUUAAUAUGCAUUAAGACCCAUGCUCGCAUUGUGCACAAAACUUCAACAGCUAUCUACUUUAAAUUCUGCAUCUUAUAAAAAUUACUAGCAUUUAGUGAGUGCUUGAUGUGAGUUAGGACUGGCGUUCACAUUAUGCACAAGACUUUAUGAGGUAACUUUUCUACUAAAUUCUCCAUAUUACAGAAGAGGCAUUAAGUCUUAAGAGGGUAAAGUAACUGGACCGAGGCCAGAUGAGAUUUACUGCAUGUCCAUCUGACUCCAAAUCCCUUUGGGUGAGGAGACUAAGAUCCAGGGAGGCUAAGCAAAAUGCCCAAAAUUGCAGUCAAUUAAGGCAGAACAGGGACUCCCAUUUGCUUUCUGCUGCCUUUCCAAUGACCUACAUCUGCCUACAGCACCUUGACUGUGGGCCCGGGGAGAGGAGUCCAACCUCUUUCCAGUGUUGAAGAGCUAAGUAUUGGAGGAGAAAAAAAUGUAGAGACAACAACUAUUGUGUUUUUCUAUAGGAAGUGCUGUACAAAAUUUGAUUAUCUCUAGAUUUGAAGCCAAGCAUGGCAGCUGGGCUAGUACCUAAUUCUUAAGCUUGCCCAUGCAUGGAGGAAAAUGGGAUAUUGAAGACAUUUAAGGCCUUAUUGCUGCAUUAAUGCAGGAGCUCACAGUGAUUGCACUAUGAAAUUUACCUGGCAGCCCAGCAGGGAUAUUGCAGCUAAUUAAUUUUGCCUGACUUUAUGGAAGCCUCCUCAUUUUUAAUCCCCUCUCUGCUUUAUGCCAGAACGUGAGUGAGGGGGAUGUGGAUGGAAAUGUAAUCUGUUACUUGCAAAGUAGCUUCUAUGUGUGGCUGCCUGGCAUUUACUCCAUGGCCCACCCUGCACUUUCCAGCAUAGAUAUUUUCUUCUCAUGGGGCCUGGGCACAAAGAAAGAGGGUUUCAUUCGAUUCCAGCAGAACUGCAGAGGAAUUGAAAAUAAGGAAUUCAGAGAAGGAAGGAUAACAGGAUUUAAGAGGCUGACUGUGCAGAUUUG